rnacentral:rRNA from 1 species
UACGGAGGGUGCGAGCGUUGUCCGGAAUCACUGGGCGUAAAGGGCGCGUAGGCGGCGCGAGAAGUCAACGGUGAAAGCCCGGGGCUCAACCCCGGGUCGGCCGUCGAUACUCUCGUGCUUGAGCACUGUAGAGGCAGGUGGAAUUCCGGGUGUAGCGGUGGAAUGCGUAGAGAUCCGGAAGAACACCAACGGCGAAAGCACUCUGCUGGGCCGACACUGACACUGAGAGACGAAAGCUAGGGGAGCGAAUGGG